rnacentral:misc_RNA from 1 species
CACACACUUCCUUUUUUGUGUGCGCGUGUGUGUGUGGUGCACCUCACCGCACGCUUGGACUUACCUUCGCCGUCACAGACACGCGCAUGCCAAAGCAUCACCGAAGCCGCCACUCACACGAUCACUGAAGCCACCAACCACCCGGCCUUGCCCAAACCCCGUUCCUGUCGAGGCACAGUCGCACACAUACGCACCGUAGCGGGACCGCGUACAGACGGCAGCUUUGCCGCUUCCACGUCACCUCUGCCCCCUCCCCGCUUUCUGCCAUUUUUUUUUCCAUAGUCCCUCCCUCUUCUCUCUCCUUGCUCAACGGUGGCACUUGAGUGAUUUUUCGACGUUGUGGGUGAUCUUCGGGUUCUGUGUGCUUCUCUCUCUCUCUCUGUGUGAGCAUCCGCGUGCGCGCAUAUCGACAAGAAGACAGCGCUCACCAAACCGAAGCCGCUGUGCUCUCUCAUCUUUCCCCUAUAAAAACGCCACCUCACUGUGUUUUGUUGGCUUCUUUAGUUCAUGCGUUGCCGUAGCGCACGGCGCGUGCUACCGCCCCUCCCCUCCCUCCUCUCGCCACAACACCUCGUUUCUGCGGCCCUAUCUUUCGCUCUUUUCGCACACAGGCUCACAUUGGCACACGUAGAUUCUCUGACGCACAUCCUUUUCUUGUGUCGUGGUCAAUCCCGUCCGUACCUUAGUCUAUCCGUCCUUUGACUCCUCCCCUUUCUCUCUCGCCCUACCCGUGGUCUUCUUCCUCGCUCGCCUCCCCUUUCCAGUAGCUUCGCGACAGCGUAUCCCCAUCGACACUUCUCUUCACCGACUAGCGCGUGCGUGCUGUUCGUCCAUGGCGGCUAACGGCUGCUUCAUUGCAGCCCUGAUAGCCCGCACGCAUGACCGACUGCCCUUGUGCAGCUACACGGAUGACAACUACAGCAACGCGAAUGUGAUUCGGCAGCAGGAGCAGCGCAUUGUAGAACGGAUGGAGUCGCCGGCGGGUGGCACAGACCGGGCGGCGGCGAAGGGGAGCUACUACGAGAGUUUCGACCACAAGGACAACGUCUACUUUGCCUUUCAAGACGCGGCGACGGACUUGACGCUGGUUGUGGCAGUCAACAAGCUGCUGCUGCGCAACUCGGGCGACAUCAACGGCAUGAACAAGCUAGCCUGUGGGCUGCUCGACCUCAUUUUCUCGGAGUUCAUUCAGAUGUACACGCCGGCGGAGAUCGGCGCUCCCAACGUGAGGGCGUACCAGUUUAUCAAGUUUGACGCGACGCUGCGAAAGUGCGUGACGCGCAUCAUGCAGCAGGACCGUACCACCGGGGACAGAAUUGUGGUCGGCUCCGGGACAAGCGGUGGCAGUAGUGGGUCUGGAGCUGGCGCCGGCCCAAGUGGUGGCGGUGUCGGGGCAACGGGCAUGAUACGUCGCCAGGUCAACCCACAGUACGAUGCGCUGCGACAGGAGAUCACGGAUGUGCACAUGGUUAUGCGCAAGAAUCUGGAAGACCUCAUGACGCGCGGCGAGGGGCUCGACACCAUGACGAACUACUCCGCCGAGCUCGUGGAUCAGAGCUCCCGCUAUUACAAGAAGACGGUGCAGAUGAACCGCAUGCGUCUCCUCAAGACGUACGGCCCACCGGCAGCGAUCGGGCUUUUCCUCAUUGUUUUCUUCUACUUGUACUUCUUCUGAACUCGCGCGAGAGUAGGGCUAAAGUGAGUGAAAGGCAAACGACGUGGGCGUUCGGGGUGUAGUGUCGACUGUGGUGCCACACGUGGCGGCCAUGCCGCCUCUGACAAAGCAGUGUGAGGGGCAGCGGUGGCAGUCGAAGAAGCUCUGGGCUUAUAGCUCUCCUCCCCUCUCUGGUGUGCGCACGUACGCGUGCGCGGCUCCGUUCGCUUUUCUCUAGACGAAGAUUGACACCUAUCCGUGUCUGUGCGUCUUCGACGCCAAAGGGCGUUUGUGGGGAAAGGAGCGGAGGGGUGCAGAACUGUAGAGAUGGGCGGCAUUGCCCUCCUCCACCUCCGCUGUCAGGUAGUCCUCGACUCUUCCCCUCGAGCGGCUCAUAUACAACAGCAUCAUUGACGGGCAUUUGAUCUACGUACCCACCAACGCGACAAG